UACGUAGGGUCCGAGCGUUGUCCGGAAUUACUGGGCGUAAAGAGCUCGUAGGUGGUUUGUCGCGUUGUUCGUGAAAACUCACAGCUCAACUGUGGGCGUGCGGGCGAUACGGGCAGACUAGAGUACUGCAGGGGAGACUGGAAUUCCUGGUGUAGCGGUGAAAUGCGCAGAUAUCAGGAGGAACACCGGUGGCGAAGGCGGGUCUCUGGGCCGUAACUGACGCUGGAGGAGCGGAAAGCAUGGGGAAGCGAACAGG
rnacentral:rRNA from 1 species